rnacentral:lncRNA from 1 species
GAUCCAUUAGGUUCCAAUUAGCGAGGUAGUGGGCGAUUGUUACUCUUAACGAUCGAUUAUGAAUUGAAACCACAUUUCAAUUCUCCCUUUUUAUGAUUAGUGUUUCCUAAUCAUUAGGGCUUCCACAAACCAUGAGUGACACCUAGCAGUAUGUCAUGGUUACCCAAGCUAAGUAGAAUUGGUUGGAGAACCUAUCCAGUUACAACUACAAUGCAAUACGGUCCUUCUCUAAUACAAUACUCUUAAUCACAUUGUUUUAGUGAUAGUUUGUUUCAUGUCUACUAUCCAAUGUGAUACAUAUCUAUAUGAUUCCCUUGAAUAUGAUUUGGAACAAACUUCCUAAGUCAUAUUCAUAUACUUUGGCCAAAGACUUUAGAAUCAUAUCUUAGAGUAUACUCCUUCCACCAUGGAAGGUUAGAGAUCCCUUGUUGUGCAUUCAUAUGCCUACAUGACUAGAUAACUUGACCCCAACAAUGCCGUGGACACUCCGAGGGAAUGCCGUUGACAUGAUAAAAGAUCAAGGACCUAACCAUUAGACAUCUAUGAUGCCUCAGGUCAAAGGACUACUUUGCAUAUUGCAACUUUCGAGUUCUUACAUGACAUGUAUGUUCGAACUCUCUUUUGAUCGUUGUUCAGUGUACUCGAUUACUCUUUCGAGCACCUAUGUGUUUGUCUUAGUGUCCAACACCAAAUGACUUGAGACUAGUCAUAUUCACGCUUGAGUCGACAUAACACAUACUAACCUUAGCGGAUUGUCAAUACCCAAUUGGCAAUCCUAUGGCUAGGAACGUUUUAGGAAUGAACAUAAGAGAAUGGUCUCGAUCAUCUAACUCACUUAGAUCACUUGUCUCUUAGAUCAAAUACAUCCCUUAGAUUCCCUUAUUACUUAAACACAUGAUACAAUAAAUAGUGAUUAACAAUAAGCUUUGCCCUUCAUUAAACAUAUAAAAGUUUAAUACAUUAAGUAUUCCAAAAAGCUAUUACAUCAAAUGAGUGGCUUUGUGGGCAUACUUCCAACAAAACCCAGCCCAAGCCUUACACCCACUCCGACCCCCUCACUUUCUCGAAACCAACUCUCAAACCCUCGAACGCAACCAUGCUUUUUUCUCCUCUCUCUGUCUCUCUCUCCCUGUCCAUCUCUCUCUAAAAUCGGAGAAAAUCCCAUAUAGGUCCUGAUAGCUAAAUCCCACUCUCACUCAAUCCAAACCCGUACCUCCCAUCUCUCUCCAAUCCGUGAGUCCCUUUGUCCCCCUCAUCUCCUCCUCCCCCAACAACCCUCUGACCGAUGCAUCAGCCACAGGACACCCACCCGCAUGUCCCUCCUGAAAAUCCUCUCCCCGAAAUCCCUGCGAACCUCUCCCUCUUGAUGUGAAAAUUAACUAGCACUCAAAUUAACCCUCUUUUUAUCAAUUGUAGUAAGUAUGGAAGUAGGGAUCGUUCUAGGCCGGGGAUUAGGAGGGAUUGCAAAAUCACUUGAAAACUGACUCAAUUACGUAAAAACAAGUUUAAAACACUAAAAUAGACUCAAAGAAUGCAAAGCUAAACUUUAAAAUACCAAAACAAACCAAAAGACGCAAAACAGCACCAAAACACUCAAAACUGCCUUAAAAACACAAUCUGGGCAGUUUUGAACACUGGACACAAACUUGGACGAAAUUAGGUUUUAACUUGACUCAAAACACUUAAAAACACAAACUAACUUGACUUCUAACUAAUAUGACUCAACAAAGAAAAAGGGGAUUGAUUUUGGACGAAUUUGAAAACAAAACAAAACUUUGUAAAACGAACAGAUUUUAAAACGAAUUUGGUUUAAAUGAAUGGAUGGAAGGCUAGCUAAGGGUUCAUCUCCACACAUGUUAUACUUGCAUUCAAAACGAUUUCCAAUUUCUUUUCAAUAACCCAUGAAUUCUCAACGCCCCAAGUUAAUUAGGUCCGCUUAAAUUAACCUUCAGAUUUUCCUAAUGUUAUUGAAUUGGAUGUUUGCAUACGACAACCCAAAGCAUUCCCCACAAGUCCCCUACAUGAUUGCAUAAUAGAGAUACAAGCAAGA